rnacentral:miRNA from 1 species
UGAGCCAGGAUGGCUUGCCGG